CUCCCGUCAUCCCAUCUCUCUUCUCCUUCUCCUUCUCCUUCCGAGCGCCACGACGCUAGGUUUUGCUGCCGCCGCCAGCCUAGCCCGGCCGGCACCACCACCUCCUUCUCUCGCGUUCGGGCGUCCCUGCCUUGCCUGGACCGCCUCUCGACUCGAUCUCUCCCCUCUCUCCUCUUUCCCUCGACGGUGUGGGCGAGCAGGGAGACCGUGUGCCGACGGUUGAAGAGGAAGGUCGGCCUCAUCCAUACAUCUCCAAGCCCAGAUGCCCCACUUCCUCCUCCCCUUCCCCCGCCCCCACCCCCACCUCCACCUCCCCCUCCUCUUGCACAUCACCUGGGCGGCUGGGCCAUGGGAUCCCUGCACGCACAAACCUAGCUCCAAGCAGCUGCUGCACGGUGGGGAAUGGCAGAGGCUGAACGCGUGCAGCCCAUGACGCUGGUGCAGGUUGAGCCUCCCCUUCCACAGGGAUUCCUCUCCCUCCAUGGAUUACCAGACUUUCAGGAAUUACUGGAGCAACCAAUGGACAUGAAACACCCAAGAAGGGGAAGGGCAUUUUAUGAUAUUAUAUGAGGAAAAAGUGCUAUAACAGUGCAGGUUAGAUUCUCCUUUUAAUUUUGUUGAUUUACAGUAGAUUGGGAACGCAUAAGUACAAACUGAAUAACUUUACUUCUUUUGCUUUUACAUAGAAGAAUUAGUGCUAGCAAAUUCAAAAUAAAUUUGCAAUGGUCUAGAUGAAGGUGCAGGAUAACAUAUAAUUGAUCGGGUGAGUGUCAGAUAUAGUGUCCUACAUUUGUGUUUUUUGAAACCAUGUCCUCUUCCUUAUCUUGCCGGCGCCUGUGGGUAAAUCUGAGAAAAGUUUGAUACCUGAACCAUAACUCAACCAAACUCACGUGAGCUAGCUUGACACUUGAACCUAAACUAAACCCACGAUAGCUCUCUUGACACCCAACCAAAACCAAACUUGCUGGGAAUUUUAACCAAACCAAACUGAACCAAGGCUUCAACCAUGGGUUGAAACUGUUUACAUAAAUAGGUUCAGAACCGUUUGAUUAAAUGGGUUAAGCACUAUAUUAACAAUCAACCAAAACACAACAAGCACACUGAACCAACUUACUGCUUCACUCAACUGGAGUUUGACAAUGACAUCUCAAACUGAAUAUACAUUACAAAGGACUCAUAUUCAGAAUUGAGCAUCAAGUCAACCUCUGACGAAAUGAAAUUAACAAAGAAACAACACAAGUAACCAGAGCAUCAGGAAUCCACAUCAUCUAAACAAAGAUGGGCUAUCAAAUAGACAAUCUAAACAAGCUUGGCCAUGGCCACGGCGGCCGCUAGUACUCAGCGCAGAAGUUCACAUCCUUCAUGACAAAGAUCAUCACGCUGGCCGCGACACAAGCACCCGAGAACAUGAGAAUGGCCAUGACCUGCAAAAUAACAUGGACAUCAUUUCACUUCGAAAACACUUGCUUAUCACUGGAAGCCUAGAAUAUAUAUCAACGAAAAAUAGUGCCGGCAACUCCUAUUACAGGUUUUGGUGGAUUUAUUACGUGCUAGAUGAAAUGAACACACAUUCCUACAAGAACAGAGGAAGAAAUAGGGCAACAAGACCCGGCUGUGUUCCAGCCAACAAAUUCAAUGAACUUAUGACAUGCCUAUGGACUAGCUGAUUCAUCACUCCUUUAUUCAUCACUCACUUGUCAAGAGUGUCAUAUCAAACCAAAGUCCAAUAGUUCUACAUACUAGUCUUGGCAAUGUUUACUCGCUUAGCGACAGUGGUUUUGCUUGUCCAAUCACUAUAACGGAAAAAGGAGCAAGGCAAAGGCAAAUCGAUGAUCAGGAUCACAUUUUUACCUUUUCUUGGUUUCAAGUUUUUAGCCGUGUGCUUACUGUCCAUCUCCUGCAAAUGAAACAAAGGAUUAAUUUAAAGGCAUAUGAACACUUAUAUGCUGCAAGUUUUAUAUAUCACAUUUUACACAAGUAGUAGAACCAAAAUGUAAUUGGUUAGCUCACCCUCCUUUGGUUUGAACAACCAAUCUUUAGCACAAACAAGCACUUCUAGCAUAUCAGGGUUCAAAGAGCUUCUCUUGUCGCCUAGUAUCCUCUUACCACAACUGAAGGCUGAUUCAGAUGCCACUGUGCUCAAAGGAAUUGCAAGAAAGUCACGGGCCAUAGAUGCCAAUAUAGGAAACUUUUCGGCAUGCCUCUUCCACCAACCCAAGACAUCAAAGUCAUCACCGGCCUUCUCGGAUGCUUCUUCCAAGUACGCAUCAAGCUCGGAUUUGUGUACACGUGACCUCCGACGAGACUUGUGCUGGGCAAACUCUUCUUCCAACUUCCUUUUCCCUGCAAUAGGUGAUCCAAUAGUGGUAUUGCCUUGACUAGAAGGUGUCGAGUGUGCAGUGCUUAUCGUUGCAAGUAGCUCAUAUUCCUUGACAUACUUUCUCACCCAUUCUAAAGCAAUCUCCACUUGUUUUGUAAUCUGCUCCUCGUUGGUGGACAACUUGCAAUAGAAGAAAUCCAAGUAAUCUUCUUUCCUCCUUGGAUCAAGGAUUGUAGUAAUGACAAGUGCAUGGUUAAACUCAAUGCCCUUGCUUUUUCUACGACGGUUAGGAUCUGCAUUCUCCUUCUCCUCGGGAUCCCAAUAUUUAUCGAGCUUCGUUUGCAUCACUGCCGCCAACUCCUUCAACACAUCAGAGGUCUGCCAACCCGGAUCUUUCAAUGCAUGGCGAAUAGAAAGCACAACCGGCAGAAACUUAUGUGAAGUUGGCUUCCUGUGAGCUGAAACAAUCAAGGUAAGUUCUUCAAAAGCUUUUAGAAACUCGCAAAUAGCUUUUGCCUUCUCCCAUUCUUCCUCACUUGGAGACUCUAUCAUCUUUCUAUUGGCAUAACAAGUGAGGACAGAUUUGUACGUCAAUGCUUCUACAAGCAUUUUCCAGGUUGAGUUCCAUCUGGUUGGUGUAUCAACAGAGAUGCCUUUCUUUGCACAUAGACCCAUCCCACUUGUAAUUGUAUUGAAAUCUUGAAGUCUUGAAGGAGAAGAGUCAAUAUACUUCAGCAGUUCACGUAUCAUGUCAAUAGCUUCAUGGAUUAUUUUCAUUCCAUCCUGAACCAAGAUAUUAAGAAUGUGCGCACAACACCUGACAUGCAAAUGUUGACCUUCAAGGAGCAGCUCAUGUUUGUGAUAUUUUAUUAACUCCUCACAUGCAUUAGUAUUAUUGCUGGCAUUAUCUAGUGUCAAAGUGAAUAAUUUGCCCCUUAUGCCCCAUUCUGUUAAGCAACGAACUAUUUCUUCUUCUAUCGCAUAGCCUGUGUGGGGAUACUUCACUUCUGCGAAACUUAUGGUCUUCUUGUAGUUGAAUUCUGCAUUGAUAUAAUGGGCGGUGAUGCACAUGUAGCCCAAGUCCUGUGAUGAUGUCCACAUGUCAGAUGUUAAGCAAAUGCGAGAAUCCAAAUUUUCUAGCUCUACUUCAAUAUCUUUCUUCAUUCCCUUAUACAUCUUCACUGCAUCAUCAUGAAUUGUGUGACGACCCUUGAUUUGAAACGCUGGCUGCAUUGAGUCAAUCCAUGGCUGAAGGUGGGGAUCUUCAAACUUAAGAAAGGGGAUCUCAGCAUGGACGCAAUACUUGACCAUGAGUUCACGACAAACUUUUUCAUCAAACACAACAGACCUUCGGAUGGUUUUCUUUUCGGUCAACAAAAACCUCUUCCUGCAAGCCUCCUGAAUUGAUCGGCAAGCCUCUGCAAUAUGGGUCCUCAAACUGCUAGUCCCAAACUUGGUGUGAAGUUGCGCUCCACAGUAUUUGCACACAGCCUUGAAAUCACCAUCUACGAGAACCAGAUCUACUUCAUAAUGCUCCCAUACCUUGGACCUUCUAGCAUGUGGUACUUGACUCGUAUUCUCAUCCAUGGAAUCAACACUCUCCGAACCCUCUGAUGUAGACAUGCCUCAAAUUACUAGUGAGUAAUUACUAUAGUGACUGAUCGAUCGGUCGAGUGGUCUGGGUUGGUGUGUUUUUCCCGUCCUUGGUGCGUGGCCUGUGAAUGCAGAUGCAAGGUGCAAGCAGGUUAAUACUAGUACUAGUAGCAGUAAAAGUUGAUGCAUGUAAAAUAAAAUAAACGACAAAAUCACUGGGAAUAAAUGUUUUGGAUUUCAAAUCUCAAAAUAGAUCAACCAACAUCAAGGUUCGAUAAUCUACAUGGCAAAAAAUUGACUUAAAAUUUUCAGUCCCAAACUCUGAACAUGCAAAAUAUUUUUUCUUAGUUGAUAAGGUCCACUAACUAAGUACUUCCUUCUUAUCUCAACAAUCAAAAUUUAGAAAACCCUGCAUAACGGUCCAGAGCAUAAAAAGAAGUCAUAGGAGUGCUAAGAACAUUUUAUUUUAUUUUAGUUCCUCUGCCGACAGGAUAAGAAGAUGUUGGGUUUAGUACAACGUACAUAUGCCGACAUUAAAGUGCUAUAGAGCAUAGUCUACAUAAAGAAGUUCACGCCUCAUAUCUCAACAAUCAUCCCAAUCUUAUUAUGGCAAAAUAACCAUUAUGAAGCUACAAUGUGAGUAUAAAAUAGUAAGAAUCAGUGGUAAACAGUCCGCUGUCCAGCCCAGUAUGUGAUUUAAAUGACGAACAUGUGCAGACCAAAUGAAUUACACAACAAAUCAUCAUACAAUUUGCUGCUGCCAUGAUCAAUAUGAGCCAAAGUUUGCACUGCUUAUUUUGUGAAGGAAUAACAGUUUUCAAUCACAUCAAUGGAGUGACUGAUAAAGUGGUUCUAUUUUUAAAUGAUCUUAGUACCUUGUUCGGUAAAUCAUUAAAAAGCGCUUAUAAAUCACUGCAGAAAGGAAAUAAAACAUUGGCCAACUGAGAAGCUAUUAGGAAAAAAUGGGUGAAGGAUAUUGCUAUUGACUUAUCUUAGUACUCCUUAGUACAUAAAGAAAAACUUGAAUACAGAAUACCACUCCCUAUAGUUUGUACAACAAUGAGAAAAGUUACGCAUCAGAGAUUCAGAACAGACUUCAUGCUAGAAAUUGACCAUGACAACUUAUGAGAAGGCAGUAUACUAGCAGAGGUGCUGAAUGCGCAAAAUCGUCGAAAGAUGUAAAGAGGUUUCGAGGAUGAGUACCAUCCAGGUAUUAUGGAAUAGCAAGUUUGCUCUUUAACUAGACAUAAUUUUCCACGUGAUAUUGUUUCCAGUAGUUUGCAAACUGUUGGAUGGAACUCUGCAAUUCUGUAGCUAUGAACAGCUAGCUGUAAGCGUGAAUUCAACUAAUGCCCAAGCUCCACAGAUGCAACUACCGAUGGCAACAUUCAUAACCGGCGCUUGGCAUGAGCGCCGCCGGAGCACCGCUCCACAUCCACGACAAAGCCAAACAACAAAGCGUCACUCGCCUCUCACAAAUUGAAACUGAACCGAAAAUGUAUAGUCGUACAGAGAACAAAUUGAAGUGGUUCUUUGUUGAGGAGCUGUGGAAUCGACCUGGUUGUUGCUGUUGUUGUUGCAGAGAAGGAGGGGACCAGCAGGGGCACCUUGCCGGCGUUGCCGCUGGAGCACCUUGCCGGCUUGCCGCCGGAGGAGCAGGACCUGGUCAACAGGAGGAGCCGGUC